UGGGGAAUAUUGCACAAUGGGCGCAAGCCUGAUGCAGCCAUGCCGCGUGUAUGAAGAAGGCCUUCGGGUUGUAAAGUACUUUCAGCGGGGAGGAAGGGAGUAAAGUUAAUACCGUUGCUCAUUGACGUUACCCGCAGAAGAAGCACCGGCUAACUCCGUGCCAGCAGCCGCGGUAAUACGGAGGGUGCAAGCGUUAAUCGGAAUUACUGGGCGUAAAGCGCACGCAGGCGGUUUGUUAAGUCAGAUGUGAAAUCCCCGGGCUCAACCUGGGAACUGCAUCUGAUACUGGCAAGCUUGAGUCUCGUAGAGGGGGGUAGGAUUCCAGGUGUAGCGGUGAAAUGCGUAGAGAUCUGGAGGAAUACCGGUGGCGAAGGCAGCCCCCUGAACAAAGACUGACGCUCAGGUGCGAAAGCGUGGGGAGCAAACAGG
rnacentral:rRNA from 1 species